rnacentral:lncRNA from 1 species
UUUUUCUUUUUCUGACGUACCCAACUCGUAAGACUUACAGGUAACGCCAAGGCUUUUCAACCUUACAUUUGGUUCAGAGCUUUCAUAUGAGUUGAUCUUUAUUCCAUCAUUGGUUAGUCUUUAUUGGUCUAGAGCCGGCUGGCUUCAUUACGGUUCAGAGCCCGCAACUUAAUCAUGAUUGCUGCAAAUAAGCUUUGAUACAUUAAAGGUUCAACAGUAAUAAUAUAUGAAACAUAAAACAAACAAAAAUGAUACCGCCAUGGGUGGUUUGUUGCGGCGCUCCUCGCCUAGUAAGAAAAAAAUUAUGUUUUGG